rnacentral:rRNA from 1 species
AUUGAACGCUGGCGGCAUGCUUUACACAUGCAAGUCGAACGGUAACAAGUUAAGCUGACGAGUGGCGAACAGGUGAGUAAUGCAUCGGAACGUGCCCGGUCGUGGGGGAUAACGCAGCGAAAGCUGCGCUAAUACCGCAUACGAUCUAAGGAUGAAAGCGGGGGACCGUAAGGCCUCGCGCGAUCGGAGCGGCCGAUGUCAGAUUAGGUAGUUGGUGGGGUAAAGGCUCACCAAGCCAACGAUCUGUAGCUGGUCUGAGAGGACGACCAGCCACACUGGGACUGAGACACGGCCCAGACUCCUACGGGAGGCAGCAGUGGGGAAUUUUGGACAAUGGGCGAAAGCCUGAUCCAGCAAUGCCGCGUGCAGGAAGAAGGCCUUCGGGUUGUAAACUGCUUUUGUACGGAGCGAAAAGGUCUCCUCUAAUACAGGGGGCUCAUGACGGUACCGUAAGAAUAAGCACCGGCUAACUACGUGCCAGCCGCCGCGGUAA